rnacentral:rRNA from 1 species
AUUGAACGCUGGCGGCAGGCCUAACACAUGCAAGUCGAGCGGAUGAAGGGAGCUUGCUCCUGGAUUCAGCGGCGGACGGGUGAGUAAUGCCUAGGAAUCUGCCUGGUAGUGGGGGAUAACGUCCGGAAACGGGCGCUAAUACCGCAUACGUCCUGAGGGAGAAAGUGGGGGAUCUUCGGACCUCACGCUAUCAGAUGAGCCUAGGUCGGAUUAGCUAGUUGGUGGGGUAAAGGCCUACCAAGGCGACGAUCCGUAACUGGUCUGAGAGGAUGAUCAGUCACACUGGAACUGAGACACGGUCCAGAGUCCUACGGGAGGCAGCAGUGGGGAAUAUUGGGCAAUGGGCGAAAGCCUGAUCCAGCCAUGCCGCGUGUGUGAAGAAGGUCUUCGGAUUGUAGAGCACUUUAAGUUGGGAGGAAGGGCAGUAAGUUAAUACCUUGCUGUUUUGACGUUACCAGCAGAAUAAGCACCGGCUAACUUCGUG